AGUACUAUUUUUUAAGUGUUCAUUGCUAAAGAUCUUAAAAUAAAAGCAAGAGAGCAAUCUUCUUUGGAUGGUAAGAAUUUAUUCUUGGGCUGGAAGCUGGGAAAGUACUGGAUUCUCCCUCCAUUCCCUUUCUGAUCCCAGAAGUCUUUGGACCACAGUCCCCUGUCAAUUGGUAACACCCAAGAAACAGCAGAUAGAAAAAGCAGUCACCACACAAGCCACCACACCAUGAGCAAGCACAGGACAUUGAGGCUCUCUGGACCAGCCACAGCUGAGCUCAGCAGGACCACACGGUUCUCAGGAGAGUCCUGCAAACCAGCACCAACAUCUCUGGCCCAGAGCCACAUCUGGCCUUCCCACAUGUAUCGUUGGCUGACCAAAAAGCUGACAGCCGGAGAAGGGAAAAGAACAAGAGGAGAUGGUCUCCUGCCCUGUCUUGGAAACAUAAAAGCACUUCCUGGGCUCCAGGAGGCAGCAGAAGGGAUUCAGGCACAGAAGAGGAUAAACCAGGAAGAAAAUUGAGUUAUCA
rnacentral:lncRNA from 1 species